AUGGAGAGGCUCAAGCUGAUCUGCGAGGAGAGGCUCUGCAGCCGCCACUGCAGAAGCAUGGUGGCGACUACGCUGGCAUUGGCCGAGCAGCACGGUUGCGGUGCGCUCAAGAAGGCGUGCUUCAGGUUCCUCACAUCUCCGGGGAACCUGACAGCGGCCACGGCGAGCGAGGGCGUUCAGCAUCUGAGGAGCAGCUGUGGCUGUCGUUUAUACUAG
rnacentral:rRNA from 1 species